rnacentral:tRNA from 1 species
AGUUAGAAAGCGAAUUUAUCGCAUUUAGUUUCGACCUAAAUUUUUGGUUAUUUCAACCUCUAACUU